rnacentral:rRNA from 1 species
GAUGAACGCUGGCGGCGUGCCUAAUACAUGCAAGUCGAGCGAACGGACGAGAAGCUUGCUUCUCUGAUGUUAGCGGCGGACGGGUGAGUAACACGUGGAGAACCUACCUAUAAGACUGGGAUAACUUCGGGAAACCGGAGCUAAUACCGGAUAAUAUUUUGAACCGCAUGGUUCAAAAGUGAAAGACGGUCUUGCUGUCACUUAUAGAUGGAUCCGCGCUGCAUUAGCUAGUUGGUAAGGUAACGGCUUACCAAGGCAACGAUGCAUAGCCGACCUGAGAGGGUGAUCGGCCACACUGGAACUGAGACACGGUCCUGACUCCUACGGGAGGCAGCAGUAGGGAAUCUUCCGCAAUGGGCGAAAGCCUGACGGAGCAACGCCGCGUGAGUGAUGAAGGUCUUCGGAUCGUAAAACUCUGUUAUUAGGGAAGAACAUAUGUGUAAGUAACUGUGCACAUCUUGACGGUACCUAAUCAGAAAGCCACGGCUAACUACGUG